rnacentral:rRNA from 1 species
AGAGUUUGAUCCUGGCUCAGGAAGAACGCUAGCGGCAGGCUUAUACAUGCAAGUCGAGGGGCAGCAUUUACUUCGGUAAAUGGCGACCGGCGCACGGGUGAGUAACGCGUAUGCAACCUACCUUUAACUGGGGCAUAGCUCGAGGAAACUCGAAUUAAUUCCCCAUAGUACAUUAUAAUAUCUCAUGAUAUAAAUGUUAAAGAUUUAUCGGUUAAAGAUGGGCAUGCGUCUGAUUAGUUUGUUGGUAAGGUAACGGCUUACCAAGACUACGAUCAGUAGGGGGUCUGAGAGGAUGAUCCCCCACACUGGUACUGAGACACGGACCAGACAUCUACGGAUGGCAGCAGUAAGGAAUAUUGGGCAAUGGGCGCAAGCCUGACCCAGCCAUGCCGCGUGCAGGAUGACGACCCUAUGGGUUGUAAACUGCUUUUAUAUAGGAAGAAAAUACUCUUGCGAGAGGAUCUGACGGUACUAUAUGAAUAAGGACCGGCUAACUCCGUGCCAGCAGCCGCGGUAAUACGGAGGGUUCAAGCGUUUUCCGGAUUUAUUGGGUUUAAAGAGUGCGUAGGUGGUUUAUUAAGUCAGUGGUGAAAUCCUGCAGCUCAACUGUAGAACUGCCAUUGAUACUGGUAAACUUGAGUUUGGUUUAGGUAAGCGGAAUUUAUGAUGUAGCGGUGAAAUGCAUAGAUAUCAUAAGGAACACCAAUAGCGAAGGCAGCUUACUGGACCAUAACUGACACUGAGGCACGAAAGCGUGGGUAGCGAACAGGAUUAGAUACCCUGGUAGUCCACGCCGUAAACGAUGCUCACUCGAUGUUAGCGAUAUACUGUUAGCGUCCAAGCUAAAGCGUUAAGUGAGCCACCUGGGGAGUACGCCGGCAACGGUGAAACUCAAAGGAA